rnacentral:rRNA from 1 species
UACGGAGGGUGCAAGCGUUGUCCGGAUUUAUUGGGUUUAAAGGGUGCGUAGGUGGCUCUAUAAGUCAGUGGUGAAAGUCUGCAGCUUAACUGUAGAACUGCCAUUGAUACUGUGGAGCUUGAGUACUGAUGAGGUAGGCGGAAUUGAUAGUGUAGCGGUGAAAUGCAUAGAUAUUAUCAAGAACACCGAUUGCGAAGGCAGCUUACUAAGGAGUUACUGACACUGAGGCACGAAAGCGUGGGGAUCAAACAGG